rfam:Synechocystis sp. rnpB gene for RNase P RNA subunit
GAGAGUUAGGGAGGGAGUUGCGGAUUCCUGUCACAGGGAAUCUGAGGAAAGUCCGGGCUUCCCAAAGGCCAAACUUGCUGGGUAACGCCCAGUGCGCGCGAGCGUGAGGACAGUGCCACAGAAAAAUACCGCCCUUUUUAGAAAACAGCAACCAGUAAACAGUUAACAGGGUUUUUCUGCUGACUAACUGGUAACUGACCACUGAAAAGGGUAAGGGUGCAAAGGUGCGGUAAGAGCGCACCAGCAGUAUCGAGAGGUACUGGCUCGGUAAACCCCGGUUGGAAGCAAGGUCGGAGGGGCAAAGGUUGGUCUUUUUCCUGCCCCAUGAUUGGUGGAACCGCUUGAGGAAUUUGGUAACAAAUUUCCCAGAUAGAUAACUCCCCAAGGGUGCCUCGCAUCCUGGAACAGAACCCGGCUUACGACUAACUCUCUUUU